rnacentral:rRNA from 1 species
GACGAACGCUGGCGGCGUGCUUAACACAUGCAAGUCGAACGGAAAGGCCCUGCUUGCAGGGUCCUCGAGUGGCGAACGGGUGAGUAACACGUGGGUGAUCUGCCCUGCACUUCGGGAUAAGCCUGGGAAACUGGGUCUAAUACCGGAUAGGAGCCAUUUUUAGUGUGAUGGUUGGAAGGUUUUUUCGGUGUAGGAUGAGCUCGCGGCCUAUCAGCUUGUUGGUGGGGUAAUGGCCUACCAAGGCGGCGACGGGUAGCCGGCCUGCGAGGGUGGACGGCCACAUUGGUACUGAGAUACGGCCCAGACUCCUACGGGAGGCAGCAGUGGGGAAUAUUGCACAAUGGGCGCAAGCCUGAUGCAGCGACGCCGCGUGGGGGAUGACGGCCUUCGGGUUGUAAACUCCUUUCGCUAGGGACGAAGCUUUUGUGACGGUACCUAGAUAAGAAGCACCGGCUAACUACGUG